UACGCCUUGCCAAUUCUUUUCUUGCUAGAUCUAUAGGUUAUAGGACCAGCGUAGUCUAUGCCCAGGACUUCGAAUGGCACUGAUCCGACUGUUCGAUCUGUGGGUAAGGGUCCGACAGGAGGGUGAUGAAAUGUGGAAGUAUGGAACUUCUUGCAGCCAUAACAGUUCCUUAUGACUUUCUUGCUUUGCUGUCUCAGCCGAGGUACCCAGUAUUUUUUGUCUCGUGUAGGCCAUUGUUG